GUCGGAUUAGCUGGUUGGCGGGGUAACGGCCCACCAAGGCGACGAUCCGUAGCUGGUCUGAGAGGACGAUCAGCCACACCGGAACUGAGACACGGUCCGGACUCCUACGGGAGGCAGCAGUGGGGAAUAUUGGACAAUGGGGGAAACCCUGAUCCAGCGACGCCGCGUGGGUGAAGAAGGCCUGCGGGUUGUAAAGCCCUUUCGGUAGGGACGAAAGCUCUUGCCUCAAUACGGCAGGAGGUUGACUUAACCUACAUAAGAAGCACCGGCUAACUCUGUGCCAGCAGCCGCGGUAAUACAGAGGGUGCGAGCGUUAAUCGGAAUUACUGGGCGUAAAGCGCACGUAGUCGGCUUUGCAAGUCGGGUGUGAAAUCCCCGGGCUCAACCUGGGAACUGCAUCCGAGACUGCAUUGCUAGAGUAUGGGAGAGGGAAGCGGAAUUUCUGGUGUAGCAGUGAAAUGCGUAGAUAUCAGAAGGAACAUCAGUGGCGAAGGCGGCUUCCUGG
rnacentral:rRNA from 1 species